rnacentral:rRNA from 1 species
CCCCGGUAAACGGCGGCCGUAACUAUAACGGUCCUAAGGUAGCGAAAUUCCUUGUCGGGUAAGUUCCGACCUGCACGAAUGGCGUAAUGAUGGCCAGGCUGUCUCCACCCGAGACUCAGUGAAAUUGAACUCGCUGUGAAGAUGCAGUGUACCCGCGGCAAGACGGAAAGACCCCGUGAACCUUUACUAUAGCUUGACACUGAACAUUGAGCCUUGAUGUGUAGGAUAGGUGGGAGGCUUAGAAGUGUGGACGCCAGUCUGCAUGGAGCCGACCUUGAAAUACCACCCUUUAAUGUUUGAUGUUCUAACGUUGACCCGUGAUCCGGGUUGCGGACAGUGUCUGGUGGGUAGUUUGACUGGGGCGGUCUCCUCCUAAAGAGUAACGGAGGAGCACGAAGGUUGGCUAAUCCUGGUCGGACAUCAGGAGGUUAGUGCAAUGGCAUAAGCCAGCUUGACUGCGAGCGUGACGGCGCGAGCAGGUGCGAAAGCAGGUCAUAGUGAUCCGGUGGUUCUGAAUGGAAGGGCCAUCGCUCAACGGAUAAAAGGUACUCCGGGGAUAACAGGCUGAUACCGCCCAAGAGUUCAUAUCGACGGCGGUGUUUGGCACCUCGAUGUCGGCUCAUCACAUCCUGGGGCUGAAGUAGGUCCCAAGGGUAUGGCUGUUCGCCAUUUAAAGUGGUACGCGAGCUGGGUUUAGAACGUCGUGAGACAGUUCGGUCCCUAUCUGCCGUGGGCGCUGGAGAACUGAGGGGGGCUGCUCCUAGUACGAGAGGACCGGAGUGGACGCAUCACUGGUGUUCGGGUUGUCAUGCCAAUGGCACUGCCCGGUAGCUAAAUGCGGAAGAGAUAAGUGCUGAAAGCAUCUAAGCACGAAACUUGCCCCGAGAUGAGUUCUCCCUGACCCUUUAAG